UUUUCUGCGUCACGGCGGGUGAGGGACUCAGACGGCUGAGGAGGUCCCGGGGCGGGCCCAGGCCCGGCCUUUGUCACGGCGGAGCGGGAGGCUGUGAUGUCACUGCCGGCAAGGAGAGGUAGAAGGCCGCCAGUGUUGACUUUUAUGGAAGGGAAGAAGAGGAAGCAAAGUCUUGAUCGCAGAAAGGGAAAAAUGAGGAUUUAUGUGUGGAAUCAUAUCAACUGGUGGCUGACAUUUAAGGAAAAGUUAGAUUUCAGAAAUGAUGCAGAAGUUGCAGGGUUUUUACUGGACCGGUAUGACCACUACGAAGCUCAAAUGUGUUUCCUCCCUGAGGAUGUGAAAAGAAUUACCGUGAAAGAAGACAUUGUCAGGCAGCACUUCAUUAAUAGCAGCUGAUGGAACAUGAGUAGUAUACUCUCUUUAUGUGUGAAGGGUAUGACAAUGGUAACCAAUUGUCUAAAGAACCUUCUCAUUCUGAACUUGGAGAUGUGAGAACUGUAACUGAAAGAAGAGAGAGAAGCUGCAUGACUGCUUACUAAUGGAGACAGAUGACAUUAGGUGAAAAGUUGGGGUUCUGAAAACAAUUUUGUGAUGCAGAAGAAUUCUUGGAAGCUAUGUCAGGAGAAGAUAAAUGCCAGUGCUGCUGAAGCUGAGGAAUUCAAGUACAUUCUUCAAACUAACAUUUUUUUCUGGCAUUAUAAUUUUAGUUUGAAGUGCAGCAAUAAUUGAAUUCUUGGGAAUGAAUUGAUACAGGGUCACCAGCCAGAAGAAAAUCAAGCUCUUGCAUAACAGUACUGGGGAAGUUUUCGGCCCAUUUUGAUUUUCCUGUGAGGGUAUUGUGACCUAUAAAGUAUUACUGUAAUUUGUAGUAUGAAAUUCCAUGUUACUCAUUGAACUUUAGGUAUUGUUUUAUUGUGUUAUGUUAACAUUAAUAAAGUGACUGGAAUAGAU